rnacentral:rRNA from 1 species
UACGUAGGGUGCAAGCGUUGUCCGGAAUUAUUGGGCGUAAAGAGCUCGUAGGCGGUUUGUCGCGUCGAAUGUGAAAACCCGGGGCUCAACCCCGGGCCUGCAUUCGAUACGGGCAGACUAGAGUUCGGUAGGGGAGUCUGGAAUUCCUGGUGUAGCGGUGAAAUGCGCAGAUAUCAGGAGGAACACCGGUGGCGAAGGCGGGGCUCUGGGCCGAUACUGACGCUGAGGAGCGAAAGCGUGGGGAGCGAACAGG